CACCAGCACCCCGAGUGGUCGGGACGUUUAUUGGGCCUAAAGCAUCCGUAGCCGGUUCUACAAGUCUUCCGUUAAAUCCAACUGCUUAACAGGUGGGCUGCGGAAGAUACUAUAGAGCUAGGAGGCGGGAGAGGCAAGCGGUACUCGAUGGGUAGGGGUAAAAUCCGUUGAUCCAUUGAAGACCACCAGUGGCGAAGGCGGCUUGCCAGAACGCGCUCGACGGUGAGGGAUGAAAGCUGGGGGAGCAAACCGG
rnacentral:rRNA from 1 species